rnacentral:rRNA from 1 species
GACAGAGGUGCCGAGCGUUAGGCGGAAUCACUGGGCUUAAAGCGUGUGUAGGCGGACUUCUAAGUACCUUGUGAAAUCCCACGGCUCAACCGUGGAACUGCUUGGUAUACUGGUCGUCUUGAGCCACCUAGGGGCAACCGGAACAAAUGGUGGAGCGGUGAAAUGCGUAGAUAUCAUUUGGAACGCCAAUGGUGAAAACAGCUCGCUGGGAAUGAUCUGACACUGAGACGCGAAAGCCAGGGGAGCGAACGGG